AUGAUUUCCUCUCAGAGGGAUUCAAAUUGGUGCUAUGAACAAAAAUGAAAAAGAAAGAAGGGAAGAGACGGGAUGAGUGAAAAAGAUAGGCCUUUUCAGUAUGGCUUGUAAUAAAAGAGAGCUCAAGGAACGUUGGGUGGAUUUCUAAUUUCGGGUUAAAGAAAAUUCACUCAUGUACGAGUCCUGGUGCAGGAAAAUAUUAUUUUUAAUCCUUUUUCACCUUAAAAUCAACAAACUGCAUUUGUCUGCAUGAAAUGACUAAUUACUCAAGUUUAUGUACACUGUAUCUGAUAGCUCUUCUAAGUGGGUGACAGAGACAGUUUUGGCUUUGAGGACUUGGAACACUGUCCCUAAUUUUUUUUUGGCUAUCAAAGAUGGGAGAUAUACACUAGAUCUCAUUUCAUUGGCCCUCAUUCAGUCAGCGUACAAUACUUUGAUUGAAGAAAUUUUUUUGGAGAAAUUGCCACAAAUCCUGUAACCUUCUAAUGCAAUUGAUUUCAUUGCAGGUUAUCAUGUAUAUAAGUAUAUUAUCUGGACAGUUUUUCCGUAAUCCUCUUUCUCACAUUAACAACCCUUUCACCAAGGGUUUAAAAAUCUGAGAAUUUUAAUAUCAGGAUACUAUAAGAACAGUAAAUAAAAAGCUCAUUCGAUUACUCUGUCAAGGGUGUAGAUGGUUCCUGAGCCAGCAAGUUUUGUAGAGCCGCCAUCAGUGGAUUGAGCUUGGUAAAUGGAUGCUGGCAGCUUAUAGUUUCUUUGGGGAACGAUGAGAUGGUAACCAAUGGGACAUCCCUACUUUUGAGCUGUCUUGUGGCUCAGCUGAGCGGAAGAAAAGGACGGUUUUGCCAUUCCUGGGGUCUGAGUUUGAACUACCGGUGAUGGUAAUGUUGCCGAAAACUUGUACGAUGGAAUAUGAGCUGAGAAAAGAAAAAUGCGUAUUAUCACUUAUCUGGAGUUAGCAUACCUUCUUUCUGGAUCGUCUUGUUUGGCUUCAAAAAUAAUACCUAACUUGUUAUGACUUUUGAAACAGCUGUAAUUCGCCAAUAUACUUGUAUGACUAUGUUAAUUGCUUACCUGUAAUGCGCUUUUUUUCUUUUUUUUUUUUUAUCUCCUGGAACGUUGUAUUGGUGCCUAAGCAUUGUCACCGUACUGUUCCUCUAUUUUUAUUGUUUUUGUUUUGUUCUCUCUGUUAGACUUAAUUUUUAUUUUCAAAUAAAGACCAAGAACCAUUUUAGUUAAGAAUUGAUA